rnacentral:lncRNA from 1 species
CAGUAACUCUUUGCUAAUAGAGUGAUUGCGUGUUCCCGAUGCAACUGAACCACUGUGACCAGCUGAGAACAAUCAAUGUCGGUAGUAUGCCUGCACAUCUACAACAGUGGAAGACCUUGGACAUAACAUUUGGUAGAGAGAUUUAGGUUUAGGUCUCAUUUAAUCAACCAUCAUAUGACUGAUGUAAUUGGCAUGGGCUAAAUCAAACCACCAAGCAACUAUAUUGAAGACUUAAUCUUCCAAAUUGGCC